GUGCCAGCCGCCGCGGUAAUACGUAGGGGCCAAGCGUUGUCCGGAAUUAUUGGGCGUAAAGCGCGCUCAGGCGUUCUAUGUAAGUCUGGUGUAUAACCUCAGGGUUCACCCGGGAGUCGCACUGGAAACUGUGUAGCUUGAGUACAGAAGAGGAAAGUGGAAUUCCACUGUAGCGUGAAUGGUGAUGUUGGAAGGGACACCAUGGGAAGG
rnacentral:rRNA from 1 species